UACGUAGGUGGCAAGCGUUGUUCGGAAUUACUGGGCGUAAAGCGCGCGCAGGCGGUCUUCCAAGUCAGUGGUGAAAGCCCGGAGCUCAACUCCGGAACUGCCAUUGAAACUGUAAGACUUGAGGAUGAGAGAGGUGAGUGGAAUUCCCAGUGUAGAGGUGAAAUUCGUAGAUAUUGGGAAGAACACCGGUGGCGAAGGCGGCUCACUGGCUCAUUACUGACGCUCAGGCGCGACAGCGUGGGGAUCAAACAGG
rnacentral:rRNA from 1 species